rnacentral:ribozyme from 1 species
ACCGCACAGAAUCAAAGCCUCAAUGUGGCGUGCGGUGGGCAACGGACGGAUUCGUCCGGCUGAUUUGAUU